ensembl:lncRNA
UAGACCUUCAGUGUGUGACAGGUUAGUACAGUGGUGAACCUAUAGACCUUCAGUGUGUGACAGGUUAGUACAGUGGUGAACCUAUAGGUCUUCAGUGUGUGACAGGUUAGUACAGUGGUGAACCUAUAGGACUUCAGUGUGUGACAGGUUAGUACAGUGGUGAACCUAUAGACCUUCAGUGUGUGACAGGUCAGUACAGUGGUGAACCUAUAGGACUUCAGUGUGUGACAGGUUGGUAUUUCUGAAAGGACAGCAACUGCAAUAACAUCACACUCAUGUAGGAGGGUGGACUUUUUUAUAAAACACAAAGGGCCGGUGGUGUAGGGAAGGCUAUACACGGGUAUAAACUGUAUAUACACUUUUUUUCAGUGGGCAUUGCGUAUACUGACUUCUUAAUCCCUACUGAUGCGUAUCCUAGCAGUGUAGUGGAGGUAUACGUCUUAUCAAUUACAUAGUACAAUAGAGAAAUCAUGCACAAAGUAGCCCACACAAUCGCAAAGUACAUGAAAUAUAUUCACAUGCGCACAGCACACACAGCCUAGUUUUAGCGGAAUAUUAUCUGCUGGCAGCAAAAGUGUGCAGCUCUCAAGGUGUUUUGGCAUGGAGCAGCUCACAGAACAAUGCCAUCGGUAGCCGGUAGGGUAGGUAAGACGUUUCAACUUUCUACUAGUAAAUGAUAACUAAGGCAACAAUGGGUAUGCAAACCAGGUAUUGAAAAAAGUUUAAUCCACAGUGUUGGUUAGUAGGCUAGACAUGGAUGAGCCUGGGUGGACUAAGGCCCACCCAAUGGGGAGCCAGGCCCUGACAGGCCCACCCAAUCAGAUUGAUGUGGUUGAAGCAUUGUUGUGGACUUAGAACAUCACAUUUUAGUAUAUUUUCAUUUUUUUUUAAAUAGGUGUGAUUUUGAGAGUGAAAAUCUGCUAAAUCUAUGGGAAACUCAUUUAACGUGGGAAACAGGGUUUUUCACACAGGUGCCUUUCCUUCGCUAGGCGUGCCGUUUGGGAACUUUUUUAGCUAAAUGUGAGUAUUCCCACUUCUCCAGGCACCACCACACCACUGCAUAGGGCUGAUGGAAGGACAGCAGUCACACACAGCAUGACGUUAAAGUAUAAGUAGUCAAUAAACUCGGACAUAAUAAAACAUUAGUUCCCCAUCAUAAGAAUACAAAAACACAACCAUUAAGCAUUUCCCAAUCAAAAUUGACAACUAUUACCUCCCAUUGCCAAAAACAUUUCACGUUUAGCACCGUUGACCUAAAGUGUAAAGUGGAACUGGCAGCGUUUUAACUACUUUGCAGAUAUAAAACAAACAGACAAUCAUAAUAUCAGUCAAAAAUAGUUUAUGCUACAAAACCAACUUCAUAUGAUAUUUUUAAAAUAGUUUAAAUUUGACUCAACGUUCCAUGACAUAGAGUAAGGCAUUGUUGGCAGAAUAGAUGGAUGCAGUUCAAUGCAUGAUUAAUAUAAUUCACCAAUACAUUUCUUGGUAGUCCAAAACAUAUUGCUGUCAGGUUGUAAAUCACAGCUGGCCUGGUACAUUGUUCGCUCCAACCCCCGCCCCUUUCCCACCGCACCGCCCCCAAUUCGGGAUGCACUGUUUCAAUUUCAAAGACUCAGUAUUCUGGACAAAAAUGGACGAAUGUAACUCUGUGAAUGUCAAUACAAUCAAACUAGCAAGGGCAAUGGUCACAAGUCAGUCAUUACGUGGCUAAUAGGCUAGCAUAUCUAUGUAUGUAGCAGGCUAAAAACACGGAAGCUAGAUAGCUAGCUGCUAGCGGGAUGUCAUGCCAUUGAAGGAGUGGGUAAGUGACUGACUUUUUCCCCCUCAUAUCGGUGGCUAUACACAGCUAGAGAUGCAGGUGUCAUUUGGUUAGCUAGCAAGAACUUGAAUGAGUGUUACCCAGUUAGCAUAUCUCUUGCGUUCACAAAUUCACUCUGGCUAUCUACUCCAAUAUUAGAGAGCUCUCGCCUGAGUGUGCCAGAGCGCAGAACAACUGAUGAAUUUACGAAUGCGCAACACCCGCUGAAUAUGACCAGUAUCAGUAAAUGUAGACAAAAAAAGUAAGAGUUAGUCAAGAACGCUCUAGAUAAAAUGUAAAAAGCCUAACUAGCUCUGCUACUGUGAGUAAAAUGGUCAGAGUGAGGUGUUCUCUCAUUUGUGUUUGGAAGUAGCUAGCUAUCAAGCUAGCCAACUUUAACCAGUUAGCUUUGGUGCUUGGUUGGGACAAGCAUGCAUUGGCAGACAAGCUGUAGAAGGACGAGGAGGCUACAAUUUUGUGGCUUUUGGUGAAUGCGUUCUAAUGAUCUAAAGUCACGCUGUUGCAACUUCCUGUAAACACACAGUCCAGUUCAAAGUGAAUGAUGGCAGGCCCAUGUGACAAAUGGCUUGUUUGUUUAAAAGGCCUACUGUAGCUCUGAUUGACUAUAGCGCACCGGUCUGUGUAGACUCCGGUCCUGGACAAGACAGAUGUUUUUAUUUACUUUUUUAUUUACUGCAUUGUCCAAAUGCACGGCCACUUUCCCACUCUAUAUUGCUAUAGAAUUUUCAAAAAUGCCUUAGUAUACAUAAUUCCCAAACAUUCUAAUAAUUUAUGAAAAUGUGAUCGCUUGUCAGAAAAUGUUUUUUAAAAAGUGUCAUUCUUCCUGAGGGUGUAUGUAGAUGAACAGAUUUGAAUAAGAUGUCAUGUUGCUAAAAUGCUGUAAGCUCCACUUUAAAUGCAACAAUGUUUCACACACCCAAGUUAUUUUCAAAGAGAUGGCUAACACCACAAACACGCUGCAAUAAAAAACACAGUUCCACUCACCAGAUGAUGAUCAUUUGAAACACAGCUUCUUGUUGACAGUUAUUCUUGAAAAGAGAGAAGCUAACAAAUUAGCAAACUAGCCUCUUUGAUUACACCUGCUGCAGCUGCUGCAAACUAGCCAACAACAAAUGCUAGCUAGACUGUGGGAAAACUACUGCUCGCUAAUGCGCAGUGACCUGUUGGGCCUUCAAGAAGGCAGAAGUUUCCAUACAUUUUGGAAAAGCGGUCCCACCCAUUAAGUCAAAAUGUGAUUGGUUGAUUCCACUGUCACUCCAAUAUUUUGCCCAAAUACAGUUGAAUGGCAGAUGCCUUUAUCUAGCUUCUGAUGGACUUGCCAAUGGCUGACUUAUCCAGCUAAAUUUAUCUCCCCAGAGACCAGCAAAGAAAAUCCUGUUUGGAUCUUUUUUUCUCUUCAGUGUAAACCCUUUCCUUCAGAACAAAUCAGAACAUCAUUGAAAAUAAUAAUAUAAUUAUCAUUAUUAUUAUAUUAUUAUAAUCAUUAUUUUAUAAAUCCUUAGCCCUUGUCUAAAGGCUUAGAAGGCCCAUUGUUCCCCACUGUGUUUGGGUUAGUAAUAUUUGUAGAGCGGCUCUAUUUUCCUCAUCAUGCAUUUCUUCACUAUUCUGAAUGUCUAAAGAAUCCAAAUGUUGUUCUGAAAUAUGAACACAGAAAUACUGGACAUUUUGAACUCUUGUUAUUGUGGUGAUUUGACAAAAGUACAAUCAUGGUCUUGAAUUGGACUCGCAUUUUACUGGUCUCGGUCUUGACUCGGUCUCGGAAACCUCUUGUCACCCUCCCGGUCUCGGACACCCCCCCUUGACUCAGUGACUCGGAUUCGAUUUAUUUGCAUGAGCGAUAAACGGGAUUUCCUGCCGCUAAACUCCGCUCACAUACUCUGAAUGAGGGUUAUGGUUAGGUUAGGGGUUAGGGAAAAUAGGAUUUUGAUUUGGAAUACAUUUUUACUCCCCAAACGUCCUGAAAAGUGUGUGGUGUGGGUGUGUGUGUACAUGGUUUCCAACCUUAUCAGGAUCAUAAUGUCCUAACAAUUCACCAGAAUGGCCUGAUAAGGUAGGAAAACAAGGACAUUUCUGAAGAGUCUGGACUUUGUUAAAUGUCCUGAAUUUGCUAAAAUGCUAUUUUAGGCUUAAGGGUUAGGUUUACGUUUUGGGGUUAGGAUUUUGUGUGUGCCUGUGUGUGUGUGUUUUUGGUUUUACUAUUCUUGUGGGGACCAGAAGUCCUCACAAGGACAGUAAAACAAGGAACAUUCAGACAAGUGGAAACAUUUAGCCGAUCCAUACAAGGAAAAAGGCAUUUUCAGGGGUUAGGUUUGGGUUUAGGAUUACAUUUAGGGUUAAGGUUCAGGUUAGGUUUAAGGUUUAGGAUUACAUUUAGGGUUAGGGUUUAGGUUCAGGUUAGGUUUAAGGUUUAGGAUUACAUUUAGGGUUAGGGUUCAGGUUCAGGUUAGGUUUAAGGUUUAGGAUUACAUUUAGGAUUAGGGUUUAGUUUCAGGUUAGGUUUAAGGUUUAGGAUUACAUUUAGGGUUAGGGUUCAGGUUCAGGUUAGGUUUAGGAUUACAUUUAGGGUUAGGGUUCAGGUUCAGGUUAGGUUUAAGGUUUAGGAUUACAUUUAGGGUUAGGGUUCAGGUUCAGGUUAGGUUUAAGGUUUAGGAUUACAUUUAGGGUUAGGGUUCAGGUUAAGGUUAGGUUUAAGGUUUAGGAUUACAUUUAGGGUUAGGGUUCAGGUUCAGGUUAGGUUUAAGAGGGUUUCUGUUUGUGCUGGUAUCAAACCUUGGGUUGCACAGGCUUAUUGCAACUUUCUGCUCUUUCUGUAUAUUGCAAAUCAGUGUUAAGGUUAGGGUUAGGGUUAGGAGUUAGGGGAAAUAGGAUUUUGAGUGGGAAUCAAUGGUUUGGUCCCCACAAGCAUAGUAAAAUAAAUAGGGAGGGCUACUGUGUGCGUGGGCAGGGCUCUGUGCAUGUGUGUGUGCGUGUGUGUGCGCAUGACCCCAUUGCUCUCCCCUGUAUGUGUAUGUGUGACAUUAGCAUGAGCAAUAAGGUUUGAGUCCUCGGUGUGUGUGCUGUAUAUAUUGGUGAUCUAGCAUAUCACACUCGCCCUUUCUCUCAGAGCUGACUUACUUAUGUACCUACUUGUAUGAAAGAGAUGAUUGUUCCUCUCCUGUCCGUCCUGUCCUCUCUAACCGAAUGGCCAUUGUGAAUACUGAAUACCUUUGAUGCCAUUUUGAAACUAUCCUCCUCUCUCCACCAGAGUUGACUACUUCAUUUGUCGUGGUUUAUCGUUCAAAGCAGCACCCACAUGAUGCCUGACCUUGAAAUGGGUUUAUUGUUACUUUUAUUGAGUGUUUAUUGAGGUUUUUAUAGAUACAUUGAUGAAUUUAUCCAAACUCCAAUGUUGUGUUUUGUCUUGUUUUAUGCAGCGUGGACAUGCUAAAGCAGAUUGACUGAGGGGAGAAGAAGAGGUCUUAUAUGAACACACUGAUAUUUGAGUCCAUUCCAUUUUGAUACAAAGAUGAUUUUCUUCUGAAUAUGGGGAUAAAACUGUGAUUAGACUUUUAUUUUGAAGGUCUCUGUUCAUUUGAAGUGCAUGUUGGUUUGCUACAGACAGUAUGACGUUUGUUUUGUUUCCUGAUUUGUACCACACAAGCCUCCAUACUUUACCAACAAAUGGGGGUUUGUUAUGGAAAAUGAAAUUCAAAGUGUAAAGGAAACUCCUGUACCAGUCUACCAAACAUGAUUGACUGAAAGUGUUUAUUGAGCUGUUGGGGUUUGACGCUCUAUGAUAAUUCUGUCUUGUCGUGACUGAUAACUCAGCUAUCACCGUAGCUAGAACACUCUCAGCGCUUGGCGGGGAUGGAAUCCUGUAACCAUUCCAAAUCAGUAUAACGAAAUCAGUGCAAAUGCAUUGAAUGACACUUUAAUAUCCAGCGAGCUGAUUUAACGAUAUUCUAUUUCUCAGCUGUGAGAUCUCGGGAGGUUUAAUCGAGAACUUGUCGUUUUCCUAAUGACGAUGGAUAUUUUUCUUUACGCUUUUACGUUUUCCAAGAUGGCUGACGUCGGUGAACUGAAUGUGGCUCUUGAGACUGCUGAAGCGAAUGCCACACCCCCUGCUCCAACCCCCGCCCCUUUCCCACCGUCCCGCCCCAAACCUGUCCACUCCACCAUCACUGCUUGACUAUGAUGUGACAUAUGCAACAAUUAUUUUUUUGUUCGUAAAGAUAUUCUUUGUAUCAGAGGGAGAGAGUGUGGGAGGGGGGCAAUAGGGAAACGCAAAUACAUAUUUUUUAAAAUAUCAAAUGAUGUUGAUAAAAUUAUAACUGUCUUUUUUUUCAUGUAAAAAGAAAAAAAGAAUGACAACUGUUGCUAGUGCACAUGUGCUGUAAAUUGUUCUUUGGUGUAGUAAAAAUCAUCAUGGUUUAGUCGUUUUUAAAAAUCAUUUACACCAACGGUUCUAGUGUCUUAUUUUAGUUAGCCUUCUGCUCCACCGCAUUUUAAGAACCAGCUUAAUAUUUUUCUAAAGGGAUUCUUUGAAAAAAUGCAUGCGUUUGCUGGAGAACUUUGAGUUUAGUGUUGCACAAGGACAGGCGUUGUCUCUGCCUGCAUCCCAAAUGGCACCCUAUUCCCUAUAUAGUGCACUACUUUUGACCAGGGCACACAAGGCCAUACGGCUCUGGUCAAAAGUAGUGCACUAUAUAGGGAGUAGGUUAUCAUUUGGGACACAGCCUCUGUCUUUCAGUUUCCAUGGCUAAGUGAAAAACUUUUGGGGUGAAGGAGUGUACUUAGGUCUUGUACAUGAGAUUAUGUAAAUUGAGGAAAUUAAAAUGAUAAUUAUAUGACGAUUACUUUUGAUCUGUUACAGCUCGUGUAUUUGAAUUAUUGAAAAGAUAUUAAAAAAAUAAAAUGCAAUUGUUUAGUCCGGUGCAGUGUCUAUGAGUAAAUAGAAUAAAUCAUUGUCCUA